rnacentral:tRNA from 2 species
GGAGGGAUGGCCGAGCGGUCGAAGGCGGCGGUCUUGAAAACCGUUAGGCGGGAAACCGUCUCUAGGGUUCGAAUCCCUAUCCCUCCGCCA